UAUACUCGCGUAUAAGCCGAGUUUUUCAGCACCCAAAAUGUGCUGAAAAACUCUACCUCGGCUUAUACGCGGGUCAGGCUGCAAAAGGAAAGGCUGCGCUUAGGAGCUCCUGCGUGCUCUCACUCACCCCCAUCCUGGCAAAAGUCUUCCUCUCUGACUGCUUCAGUGCGUCAUCAGGAAGCGCCUCCCGGCUUUACACUGACCCGCAGUAGAACCCUGGCACAUGCGCAGCUUUUCUUUUCUGCUGUCUGAAUCAACUGGUGCUCGGCUCCGCUCCUCCCUUGUCACAUUCCUGCAGCCUGAUCAGAUUACUCGGGCUGUGACACGGAGAAAGCAGCACGAAGAGAACGGGAGACUUGAAAAGCAGGAAGGGAGGGGGAGGGAGAUCGAGCAGACUCGUGCAGCACAAGAGAGAGAGAGAGGGAGGACUUGAGCAGCACAGCACGAAUUCCCUGGGAUUGUUUCUCUGCCUGGCUGCAUGCUGUGUGUGUGGUGGGAUUUCAUUUGGAGCUGGGACAGACUGUGGAGGUGAGUGUGUGCAGAGUAGAACUUGCUGCAACUUUCCUGUCACUUUUGGUCUGGCCACACAACUAUGUUCAACCUUAGUCUCUCCAGCCCUCCUUCAGCUUCAGCCCCCCCACUGUGCUCAGUUCACUGGCUUCUAGUUCACUGGCUUCUAGUUCACUGGCUUGUAGUUCGCUGGCACACAGUCGGGAUCAGGAGUGUGAAAUGCAUUUCUCCCCCUAGGCUUAUACAAGAGUCAAUAAGUUUUCCCAUUUUUGUAGGUAAAAUUAGGUACCUCGGCUUAUACACGGGUCGGCUUAUACACGAGUAUAUACGCUUUGAUAUACAGAAACCAAGACCAUUGUACUUUCUAUUUUAGUUCAGUUCUUCAACAAUUCUUCAUUUGUCCAAUUGUUGAUUUUUCCUUCCCGCACUGAUCUCCUUAUCCAAUAUUUAAUUUAAAACAAUGAGAAACAAAAUAAAUGACAACAAAUUAUAAAAGGAAGUCAAAUUAUAUCAUUCAUUGCAUCAGUGGAUACAUCACAUAAAUAUAUAGCAAAUAUUACAUAAAUAUAUAGCAAAUAUUACAGUUGCAAUGAAAGAAUGAUCAAAUAUACACUACAACUACAACAAAAAAAGGAAGAAUGCAAGAUCAUUUCUAAAGGGCUGCACUUUUGACAACAAAUGUCCCAAUCAGCAGAGUAUGAAAGGAAAAACAAAUGUCAACCUAAACUAGAAGACAAUGAAGACAAUAAUGAAAAUGACAAUGAGAAAAGAAAAUUAGAAUGGUGAAAACUAAUAUCUGAGCAGCAGUGAUAAAAUGAGUCCAAGAGGAUGCACAGUCACAAAAGACAAAUAGUGCCGAUAUCUGCCCCAGUAUUAACUGGUAAGUUAGGUAUAUCUGAAACAGAAAAUUCAGAAAAUUCUGGAGCUACCACAGCCUUGAAUCAGGAGCAGAUGUAAUUUUAACACCAGUCUCUCAUUCAAACUGCUUGGUUUGAAUCAACCAGAUUUAUUGGACAGCUGCUGAACAAAAGGAUGACAACACAUUUUAGAGGAAUGGGCCCACAUAAGAGCUUGAUGAGCUUGAUCAAGGUCAAGGCCCACAUGUCAUCAAGAGCAAUGGACCUGGACAAGAAAUCCCUUCUCUACAACCAGGACGAAGUUGAAUCUGGAGAAAAAAAGAGCUCAGACUUGGUGUGGAUUUAGGGACAUAUUUAUUAACAUUGGAGGUAAACAUCACCAGUGGUGUUGCCCAUCGAAACCAAUCAGCAAUUCGAUUUGUAUAUUCUUUAUUUUUCCAUUUUUCCUUUUAUACAACAAUUAAAAUAAAUACACCAAUUUACAUUACAUAAACAAUUUCAAUGUCAUUUCUGCAUUGGCAACUUGUUGGUGUAUGGAAAGAAACGAAUAGAGAGAAGUUGGGUAAAGGAAAGAGAGAGUAGUAGAGGAAGAAUGUAGCCACCCUUAUUGUAUUAUUCAUUUUGGUUGAGCAUCUCACUUGUAUCCCUUCUGUUUGUACAAAUUCUGCAUGUUAUCUGUUAAUCUUGUCAUGUUGUUGUCUCUUGUUCACAGGGGUUCUGGUGUUAAGGUUUUUUUAGAUUCGGUUGUUUCUUUAUAUAUUGUCCACGAUGUCCAUGUAGCUAUAUAUUGUUCCUGCGUUCCAUUUGUAUCGGAAAUCAGUUGUCUCUAUUUCCUCUAUCCAUUCUCCCACUGAAGGAGUUUGUUUAGAUUUCGAAUGCCUGGGUAUAACUGCCCUUGCUGCCUGUAAUACAAAUCCUUUGCCGCAUUUUUUAACGUUGUUUAUAGGACCUGGUAUCAUGGAUAGUAUCAAUGUUUCUGGAGUUUCAGGUAAGUCUAACCCUAGAGCUUGUUUCAGAUUUUUAAUGAUCUGUUCCCAAAAUGGUCUAAUGUGGCAUGCCCACCAAAUAUGGAGUGGAGUACCCACUUCUCUAUGACACCUUCAGCACUGAACAGUGGUCGUAGGAUAGAUUUUCUUUCAUUUGGAUGCGCAAAGAAACCAUCUUGUGAGAAUGUUGCUAUGCUCAUCUUGUGCGUGAGGGUGUAAGCCUUUUGCCAGUCAUUGUCUGUGAAGGAGCAUCCGAUUUCUUUUUCCCAUGUUAUGGUGUAUGCAGGUCUUGUCUUGAACUUUGUCUGUUUUGCUUAGAGGGAGUAAUCCUUUCUUAUUUAAAACCUCAUAUGCUCUAACACACUUCCCCUCUUACCUGUUUAGGAAGUCUAUAGUUGUCAUGCCUGGCAGGAACUGGGGGUUUCCAGUUAUUGGCAUAAGCGGGCCAGCGGGGUUUAUGAUCUCGUCAUAUUGUCUUGUCUGGUCCCAAUGUUUUAGGAUAGUUUGUGUUAUUAUUGGAUAUUUAUCGUAUGGCAGCCCGUUCGACUUGCAUAUCCAUGGGAGUGCUGUUAACAUUUUGGCUAACUUUGCUACAUUGGUGAUAUUGUCAAUCCAGUAUCCUAGCCAUUGUUAUUGCUUGUGAAUAUAUCUGGGAGUCCUAUUCCUUCUUUUGCUUUUGGUCUCACCAAGAUUGAUCUCGAGAUUCUGCUGGACCUUCAUCCUCCCAGGAACUUCGUGAUCAGUUUUGCGUUUCCACAUAGAAUUGCAUUUGGGAUCUGGCAAGCCAAUGCUUGUAUUAUAUACAGAAGCCUGGGGAGUACAUUCAUUUUGAUUACGCUUGAUCUACAGAACCAGGAAAGCUGUACUUUAUCCCAAUCCUCUAGAUCUUUCUUUAUCUGUUGUAUCAUCCUAUUGUGGUUGAGUGCAUACGUUUCUACUGCCCUUCCAGGGACCAGAACUUCCAGGUAUUUAAUAUGUGUCUGCGACCAAACAAAGGGGAAAUUCUUCUUUAGGUCUGCCAGCAUAUUUGGUUUUAAUGUGAUGCCCAUUGCUUCAGAUUUGGUGAUUGUCAGGGGGCCUAUCGGCACCCAGCGGGAAUAGUCUGGACCAAGGAGGAAGCCCAGGGGUCAAAGUCCAAGUUCAUGGUACAAAUAGGGGUCAAGCUGAAUCGUAAUCCAAAUGCAGGCAAAAGGUCCAAAGGCAGGCAGAAUAGAAGCAAAGUCAAAGUACAAGCAGGGUCAAAAGUCCAAUAAGCAAUGUAACAAGAAAUAACAAGCACCCAGGAACUCACCAAACAAUUUCUAUACUUGGGCAUUGAACCGGCGUCCUAGGCAUCCUUUUAUUU